GUUAAAACUCCGGAUCCCGUACGAUCACCGAAGUUAAGCAACGUCGAGACUGAUCAGUACCUGCAUGGGUGAUUUCUUGCGAAUGCCG